rnacentral:rRNA from 1 species
CGGGGCUGCAUAAUACAUGCAAGUCGAGCGAACGGACGAGAAGCUUGCUUCUCUGAUGUUAGCGGCGGACGGGUGAGUAACACGUGGAUAACCUACCUAUAAGACUGGGAUAACUUCGGGAAACCGGAGCUAAUACCGGAACCUACCUAUAAGACUGGGAUAACUUCGGGAAACCGGAGCUAAUACCGGAUUAUAGAUGGAUCCGCGCUGCAUUAGCUAGUUGGUAAGGUAACGGCUUACCAAGGCAACGAUGCAUAGCCGACCUGAGAGGGUGAUCGGCCACACUGGACUACUGAGACACGGUCCAGACUCCUACGGGAGGCAGCAGUAGGGAAUCUUCCGCAAUGGGCGAAAGCCUGACGGAGCAACGCCGCGUGAGUGAUGAAGGUCUUCGGAUCGUAAAACUCUGUUAUUAGGGAAGAACAUAUGUGUAAGUAACUGUGCACAUCUUGACGGUACCUAAUCAGAAAGCCACGGCUAACUACGUGCCAGCAGCCGCGGUAAUACGUAGGUGGCAAGCGUUAUCCGGAAUUAUUGGGCGUAAAGCGCGCGUAGGCGGUUUUUUAAGUCUGAUGUGAAAGCCCACGGCUCAACCGUGGAGGGUCAUUGGAAACUGGAAAACUUGAGUGCAGAAGAGGAAAGUGGAAUUUCCAUGUGUAGCGGUGAAAUGCGCAGAGAUAUGGAGGAACACCAGUGGCGAAGGCGACUUUCUGGUCUGUAACUGACGCUGAUGUGCGAAAGCGUGGGGAUCAAACAGGAUUAGAUACCCUGGUAGUCCACGCCGUAAACGAUGAGUGCUAAGUGUUAGGGGGUUUCCGCCCCUUAGUGCUGCAGCUAACGCAUUAAGCACUCCGCCUGGGGAGUACGACCGCAAGGUUGAAACUCAAAGGAAUUUGACGGGGACCCGCACAAGCGGUGGAGCAUGUGGUUUAAUUCGAAGCAACGCGAAGAACCUUACCAAAUCUUGACAUCCUUUGACAACUCUAGAAGAUAGGAGUCUUUCUCCUUUCGGGGACGAAAGUGACAAGGUGGUGCAUGGUUGUUCGUCAGCUCCGUCGUCGUGAAAUGAUGGGUUAAGUCCCGCAACCGAGCGCAACCCUCGAGCUUAGUUGGCCUUCAUUAAGUUUGGCCACUCUAAGGUGAACUGCCGGUGAACGAACCGGAAGAAGGUGGGAAUGAACGUUCAAAUCAUCAUGCCCCUUAUGAUUUGGGCUACACACGUGCUACAAUGGACAAUACAAAGGGCAGCGAAACCGCGAGGUCAAGACCAAAUCCCAUAAAGUUGUUCUCAGUUCGGAUUGUAGUUUGCAACUCGACUACAUGAAGCUGGAAUCGCUAGUAAUCGUAGAUCAGCAUGCUACGGUGAAUACGUUCCCGGGUCUUGUACACACCGCCCGUCACACCACGAGAGUUUGUAACACCCGAAGCCGGUGGAGUAACCUGUAGGAGCUAGCCUCGAAUAUGACACUCGAAUGGGACAACGGUGG